rnacentral:lncRNA from 1 species
CUAAUUUCUGUAGGAACAUCUGAAAAUAUUUAGUCUACUGUGACUGUUUUUACCUAUUAUGACUACAAAUGAAUUGGUUUACAAGCCCCGUCUUUCGCCACAUCUCAGCAGAGAGGUGCAGGCAAUGGGAUUCAAAAAAUACCAAAUGGGGGAUAAGUAUCCAGGUUCUAAAUAAUAAAUUAGGUCACAAAUUUUUGUGUCUUUUUAACUAGUACUGAAGUUAUAUUAUGCGGUUUUUCUACAGGUAUUAAAUAUAUUACAAGUUUUAUUCUUACCAAUGAAUAAUUUGAAUAUCAUUGGCCUGUCUGACCUCUAGGUCAUCAUCAUUCUCAGAGACUCACCCACAGCGGGUUACCUCAGUGGUGUGUGUGUGUGUGUGUGUGUGUGUGUGUGUGUGUGUGUGUUUUAUUUUCUCACUUCCUUUAUAUUUUGGCUGUUAACGUCCCUUUUUUGUCUCCGUGAACAGGAAAGUUUUUAUGUGAGGCUUCAGUUGGUGUUGAAGUUGCCCUCUGAAGGCCCAGUUAGUUAUUGAGGGGCAGCUCAGUAGCUCCUCUAGUUGAAAUCAGGUUGCACCCCGGCAUGUACAGUAAAGACACAGCUCAUGUAUGACAUGUGGAGUGUGGUGGCACAGACAGACAGAUCAGCACUGCUCCCACAGCCAUGCCCUGUGUAACACAUCGUUUGUAAGGGCAGAGUGGUCCUUGGAGACAAGAACUCUUGUAUCAGGGAAUACCUUUCCAAGUUAGGAGGACUUCAACAGAUUGAGGAAAUAAUAUGGAAAAAGACAAGGACAAGCACCUGACUUCAGGCAUGCACAGAGACAGACAGUGUUGGACAUUGCCUUCGACAGAUUAGGCGCAUAUAUGUAUUAAAUGAUGCUCUGUAUCCCUCUGUAAUACAAGCCUGUCUUGAUUAGUCCAUACCACACUGUGGUGAUGCUACCUUAGAAGUAUUCCUUUUGUAUCAUGUCAGUGUUUUUAAGUUGCGUGUUCGUACUGUCUUAUAGUGAUAUCCACCUCCAUACCUGUAACACUGACCACGUCCAAAAGGCGUGUUCCAGGAGAAGGCUGUCAGCUGUGUCAAGAAUUCAUGGCCAUCAGUAUUUAUUUAGUAUUGCUGCUUCACGUUUCCCUAGUGCACCUUGAACGCCAGGUCAGUGGCUGCAUCAAAGCUGUGGGAGAUCUUUCACGUGCAUUUUUUUAAAAUAUAUUUUUAGAAACCAAAUGGCUGCAGAUGGCUAUUUAGCAUACUGUUAAACCAGCAGAACUCUAAAGGCAAUAAAUGUAUGCAUAUGUGUUGGGGGGUGGGGAGAGUGAAAAUACAGGUUUACAGCCAGACAGGGUGAUAGCCCUUCAGUGCAUUUCUCAGUGUCUCAUCACUGACCAAGAAGGAUUUGAGUUGCUGCAGCUUUAGACAGAAAGUGUCCAUGUUCACUGACUGUGGGCCAUAAAUAUGCUUUUAGUAUCGCUUUGCUGAUGUAUAAAUAAGAAAUCUGUAAUAUGUAUUAUAUGUAAUUAUUUUCUUUUGACUUCAUUUCAAAAUGUAUAUUUUCUGAUUAUUAUCAUGAGCUAUAAAGCGAAAGAUCAAUAUCUGAUAUUCUCCCAAAUAAUAAAUUUUCAAGACUCAUUGGGGCAGUACAAUUGUUGUUUUCUUUCUUAUAACACUUAAUACUUCAAGAUAUAAUUUUGUUU